rnacentral:lncRNA from 1 species
GAGCAUAGGAUCUGAAAAGAUUAUUUGACAAAGCGAAAUCUAUAGGACUUAAACUCAUGUGCCCAGGCACUCUACGUGUUUCUGGGCAGUCCUGUGUAAUAAUACCAGUGGCAUAACUACUAUGGGUUCAGACCGGGUAAACCUGGGGGCCUCCAACCCCAAUGGGUCAAAUGGGGGCUCAGGCUGCUGAGUAAAAACAUCGGCCAGGGAGGUCCCUGAUGUUACAAAGUCGUUUUCUGACCAUCAUAGCAGAUCGUAUCAAUUGCUGAAUACUCACAUGAUCAGAGAAACCUACUACAAUUUACUACAUAUAAAUUUAAUCGAAUGCAUUAUACAUAAGCCUUAUUGACCGAUUCGAGAACUGGUUAUCACAAU